GAAUGUUACAGCUCUUUUAGAAUUUGUCUAGCAGGUUUUCUGGUCCUCACCAGAAUACCCCC
rnacentral:snRNA from 1 species